rnacentral:rRNA from 1 species
CAGUCGCCGCGGUAAUGCGUAGGGUGCGAGCGUUAAUCGGAAUUACUGGGCGUAAAGCGUGCGCAGGCGGCUUUGCAAGACAGAUGUGAAAUCCCCGGGCUCAACCUGGGAACUGCAUUUGUGACUGCAAGGCUAGAGUGCGGCAGAGGGAGAUGGAAUUCCGCGUGUAGCAGUGAAAUGCGUAGAUAUGUGGAGGAACACCGUUGGCGAAGGCAACCCCCUGGGCCAAUACUGACGCUCAUGCACGAAAGCGUGGGGAGCAAACAGGAUUAGAUACCCCGGUAGUCCCUGUCUCUUAUAA